UUUUUGUGUGGAGCUGAAGAUGGAACCCGGGGCUUCAUGCCUGCGAGGUGAGCGCUCCACCCCUGAGCCACCACCCCAGCCCUUAGGAUGUAUUUUGAAUGGAAAUUAAACCAAAAUAACAGAGAUCAAAAUUUGCCAGAUGCCACCAACGCAGUGACAGGUCCUGCAGGUGAGUGCUGGUGGAAGGAGAGCAAUGGCCCCUUGGGACCCACAGGACAAGGUCACACUCAGCCUCGUGUGUUGGAAGAAAGCAAAUCGCCAACGAGAGCAGAAGACACGACAGAGAAAGCGACAGGACCGACCCCGGGGCUCUAGAGCUGUUGAAGCACAGUCCGUCUCGCAGAGGGGCUCGGGCAGCGCGUCACGGCGCGUUCUUCAUCCCAGAAGCCAAAGCCAGCCCCGCUCUCCCUCCCCCAGGGCAGAGGAACCAUGCUUCUCGGUGGCCUUCAUGAGGCCACAUGUCUGGGACACAAGACACGACACCAAGGCUGUGCGGAAGAAAACCACGGAGCAGUCCUCUCAGAACACGCGGUCAGCAGCGCCAAGCGGGGUCCAGCAGGUGGAGCUCAGCAGAGGGCAACGACAUAGCCUCGUCCCGGGAAGCCAGCCUUCCGCACCCCGAGUCACCGUCCUCAAUGGCUGGAUGAGCACCACGGAGGGAAAGGCAUGUGGCACCUCAACUGAGGAAAGAGGCCCAGGAUGACACUGGGUGGAAGGCUGGGGGUCCCUGGAGGCAGGGGGCAUCGCCCACUCUCACCACGGCUAGUCGGCAUGAGACAAACGCACACGUGUACACACACACACACACACACACACUCAACACUCUCACACACACACCGACACACAGACACACACACAGACACACUCACACACUCACACACGUGUGCACGAGGCUUCUUAUCCGAAGGUGAAAGAAGCAGAACUGUAUUCAGAGGUGACGUGGGGUCCACGUGGAAAUCCAGGGAAAUCCACAUAAAGGCUGCUGGAGGCCGUAAGCGAGCUCAGCGUCCCUAGGACACAAGGUUCAUACAAUCAGCUAAGACCUUAUUCAAUCUGUUCCGAGAAACCGACCAAGUGAUUCUAAAAGUCACUCAGGGAACCUCGCUAUGCCCAGCGGCUCUGAGGAACCCGGGUGGAGACACAUGGUGUGCACGGGGGCAGCAUCGAGGACGGGGAGCCUGAGGAGGAGCUCUGUGCCCCAGCGGAACCACACAGGCAGCCGGAAAUAGAUCUGUGCCUGGAUAACAGCUGGUUUAACAAAUUUGCAAAAGCAACUCAAUAAAGACAGGGUAGCCUUCCAAGAUAUGGUGCUGGGACAUUUGGAUAUACACAUCCGAAAGAGAGAGAAAUGUGAUCCAUACCUAAUUCAAAAUGGGUCAUAUCCUAAAAAUAUAAAAUCUAGACUCUAAAAAUUCUUCAGCUUUACAUAGGAAAAAAAAUCUUCUGUGAUCUUGGUUUCGGCAAGUAAUUCAUAGAUAUCCUACCCAAAAGAAAAAUCCAUCAAGGAAAAACAACAAUAAAUUGGACUUUGUUGGAAUUAAAAACUUUCAAAGAUUACUAUUAAUAUAGUAAAUGACCAGCCACAGACAGGGAGGGAGUAUGUGUAGGGCUGACAUUCGGUGAAGAAGUUGUCUCCAGAACUUACCAAGAGCUCUCACAAAGCACAGUAAGAAAUGACCACCAGGAAAACACGAACAGAGCAUUCCCAGAAGAUAUUUGGACAGCAAGUAAGAGUGUGAGGACUCAUCAUGGGCCCCCAGGGAAGGGCACAUUGACCCCCAGGACCGUCCACUGCAUCCCUGCCAGGGCAGAACAGCCAAGCCCAGACCCUGCCCCCUGCUGGGCUGCCCCGGCGCAAUGGAGCCCCCGCGUCUGAGGGCACUCCCUCGGAACUCUGCUUGGCCAUUUCUCUAACUGGGUUGUGGAGUCUUGGGUCCUGGGGUGACUCAAUCCUUUUGUAUCAGGAGGAAGUCUGCCCUCCCCAGGUCUGCCCAAGGGACUCUCAACCAAGCACAGCACAGUGGACUCCGCGGGCAUCCUGGGAGCAGCAGGAAGAGCCAGCCAGGGGGUUCCUCUGGCCGGCCCUCUGGGCCCUCUGGUCCACUCACAGGCUCUGGGUUUUUCUGCAGGACUUUGGCUUGAGAACGUCACCAGGACCCUGUGGCCCAUCUUCAGGGCUCUCUAAUGGCCCCGGUGAAUCUUCCUCUGUCCUCGUCCUGUUUUAAUCUGUGGAGGGGAUGUACCAGAAGUCCCGUUUCCAGCUCCCCGCGGCUCCUUGGCUGACCGCCGCCUGCGCUGAGCGGAGACACUCCCCGGCCAGCUGCUCACACUCUGUGCUUCCUGGUUCCUUCUGGUGACACCCAUCAGCAUGAAACGCAGAAGCCCCUCACCCUCUUCUCUCACCUGCGCUUACCCUUCUCCAGGGUGAUUAGCUCUGAGCUAAUCAGGGUUUUUGACUCAGAAAAAUGCCUCACUACUGAGUAUCUGUUUCUUGAAUUCGGAAUCUUCCGGCUCCUAAUUAGCAUAAGACCAUUUUAUAGUCCAGUAGAGAUGAUCAAAACGAUGUCUGCUUAAUCCAAGAGCACGUUCUCCUUCCCAUUCAACCAUAAUUUGAUCAGAUUCCAGAGAGGUUCUUUUUUUUUAACUUUUUUUUUUUGGUCCAUACUUGUGGAAAUGUGAAAUAACCAAGCAGUUAAAAUUCAUGAUCUACACUUCUGUGUCAUUAUUAUUGCAUUAGCAUGAAAUUAUACUUCUAGUUAGUCAUAAUUAUACUCAUAAUUAUUCAAUUUAUCACCAUAGGUCCUCCCGGAAGUUCUAUUGGAGGAUUUAUUAACAUUAAUAAAUUGUUUUUCUUCAUCUCCACGUUA